UUGAUUGAUUUGUAUUCAAUACUCGACGCAAAGAUGCAGAGUUGAUUGGCCCUCUGGGGGGCUCCCGGACGCGGACGGCCGGGUCGCCCCCCGAGGCAACAGAUAUUAAUCGACAAAGGGUUGGAGGUCGGGCGCGGGGGCCCUCACUCGGUAAUGAUCCCUCCGCAGGUUCACCUACGGAAA
rnacentral:misc_RNA from 1 species